GCGCACCAGGCGCGAAACCUCCGCAAUGCGGGAAACCGCGACGGGGGACCCCGAGUGCCGUGGCAACGCCACGGCUUUUCCGGAGUGUAAAAAGCUCCGGGAAUAAGGGCUGGGCAAGGCCGGUGGCAGCCGCCGCGGUAAUACCGGCGGCCCGAGUGGUGGCCGCUAUUAUUGGGCCUAAAGCGUCCGUAGCCGGGCCCGUAAGUCCCUGGCGAAAUCCCACGGCUCAACCGUGGGGCUUGCUGGGGAUACUGCGGGUCUUGGGACCGGGAGAGGCGGGGGGUACCCCUGGGGUAGGGGUGAAAUCCUAUAAUCCCAGGGGGACCGCCAGUGGCGAAGGCGCCCCCGCUGGAACGGGUCCGACGGUGAGGGACGAAGGCCAGGGGAGCAAACC
rnacentral:rRNA from 1 species